AAUAUUGCACAAUGGAGGGAACUCUGAUGCAGCAACGCCGCGUGAGUGAAGAAGGUUUUCGGAUCGUAAAACUCUGUCAUUGGGGAAGAAUAAAUGACGGUACCCAAUGAGGAAGCCCCGGCUAACUACGUGCCAGCAGCCGCGGUAAUACGUAGGGGGCAAGCGUUGUCCGGAAUUAUUGGGCGUAAAGGGUGCGUAGGCGGCCUUUUAAGUCAGAUGUGAAAGCCCACGGCUUAACCGUGGGACUGCAUUUGAAACUGGAGGGCUUGAGUAUCGGAGAGGGUAGUGGAAUUCCUAGUGUAGCGGUGAAAUGCGUAGAUAUUAGGAGGAACACCGGUGGCGAAGGCGGCUUACUGGACUGUAACUGACACUGAGGCUCGAAAGCGUGGGGAGCAAACA
rnacentral:rRNA from 1 species